GCAACUGCGAAAAGAAAUGGCUGAGGAUAUACUAAAAAUGUCUGAGUUCAACAAAGCCAACAACUGCUUCAUGUGUGCCACUGAUAAAGAACCUGGAUGUGGCCCAAAGACUGACUGGGAAUGAAGACAAAAGAGUUCAACAGAGUA